GAACUGUUUACUUUCCUGCGCGAAGUAGUUCCUGUGUGACCGUCUAGUCAAGUAGCGGGAGAGUAAAAGCGAGCAGUGAAUAGUCGAAUUCAAGUUGUCAUUUAAACUAACCAAUUGGAUUUAAUUUAAUUUUAAAGUUUAGUGAGUGCUGCAGAGAAUAAUUACCGUAAAAAAAUGAUUACUGAAGUUACUGGUACCCUGAAAAGGACGAUGAGUGAUGUGACGUGUUUAUUGUACAGUUUUGGACUCAACAUUUGCUUUGGACUUGUGAUAUUGUUUUCUAUCUGUGUACAUCUUCUGAAUAGUGUCAGUUAUGAGAAUGGUAGAAGAUUUAGAUAUAGUAUAUUUUAGGGAAAUUUUGUUAGUCAAUAUAUUUUAUGUGUGAAAAUUGUGUGUUGUAACUGAAGCUGUUGUAUUAAUUUAUUAUGUCUCAGUAUUCAUAUAAAGGCUUGAUGUUA